AGUGAACGCUGGCGGUAGGCCUAACACAUGCAAGUCGAACGGCAGCACAGUAAGAGCUUGCUCUUACGGGUGGCGAGUGGCGGACGGGUGAGGAAUACAUCGGAAUCUACUUUUUCGUGGGGGAUAACGUAGGGAAACUUACGCUAAUACCGCAUACGACCUACGGGUGAAAGCAGGGGAUCUUCGGACCUUGCGCGAUUGAAUGAGCCGAUGUCGGAUUAGCUAGUUGGCGGGGUAAGGGCCCACCAAGGCGACGAUCCGUAGCUGGUCUGAGAGGAUGAUCAGCCACACUGGAACUGAGACACGGUCCAGACUCCUACGGGAGGCAGCAGUGGGGAAUAUUGGACAAUGGGCGCAAGCCUGAUCCGGCCAUACCGCGUGGGUGAAGAAGGCCUUCGGGUUGUAAAGCCCUUUUGUUGGGAAAGAAAAGCAGCAGGUUAAUACCCCGCUGUUCUGACGGUACCCAAAGAAUAAGCACCGGCUAACUUCGUG
rnacentral:rRNA from 1 species